rnacentral:rRNA from 1 species
GAUACUCCCGGUCCAGCAGCGCAGGGAAGACGGAGGGGGGAAGGGUGAUCCGGAAUCACUGGGGGGAAGGCGUGCGUAGGCGGUAAUUUAAGUGAGAUGUUAAAUCGUGUGGCUCAACCAUAUGGAUGCAUCUCAUAGUGGGUUCCGAGAGGAGGGCAGAGGCAAGUGGAAUUGGUAGUGUAGCAGUGAAAUGCGUAGAUAUUACCAGGAACACCAAUGGCGAAGGCAGCUUGCUGGGCCACCCCUGACGCUGAGGUACGAAAGCGUGGGGAGCGAACAGGAUUAGAUACCCCAGUAGUC